AUUGAACGCUGGCGGCAGGCCUAACACAUGCAAGUCGAACGAGUGGCGGACGGGUGAGUAAUGUCUGGGAAACUGCCUGAUGGAGGGGGAUAACUACUGGACACGGUAGCUAAUACCGCAUACCAUCAGAUGUGCCCAGAUGGGAUUAGCUAGUUGGUGGGGUAACGGCUCACCAAGGCGACGAUCCCUAGCUGGUCUGAGAGGAUGACCAGCCACACUGUAAAUGAGACACGGACCAGACUCCUACGGUAGGGAGCAGUGGGGGAGAUUGGACAAAGGGCGCAAGCCUGAUACAGCCAUGCCGCGUGUAUGAAGACUGCCUUCGGUUUGUAAAGUACUUUCAGCGGGGAGGCGUUACGCGCAGAAGAAGCACCGGCUAACUCCGAGCCAGCAGCCGCGGUAAUUC
rnacentral:rRNA from 1 species